GGGAUGUCAUCUAUUCCUUAGGACAGAAAUGAUCCCGUGAGUAAUCUCGUAUGUGGUCUGUAUCCACUGCGCCGGCAUUCUGCGCGUGUCGCCCUGUACCUGAUGGAGGUGUCAUGGGUACCAGAGAACCCAACCCCAUAAAGAACACAACCGUGAUGAACUGUUGGUUGCCGCGAACUGGAGCUGUAUCAUAACUAGGCGAGUGAGCUGCGGCAAAGUUC
rnacentral:lncRNA from 1 species